rnacentral:rRNA from 1 species
AUUGAAUGCUGGCGGCAGGCUUAACACAUGUAAUUCGAGCGGGAAAAGGUAGCUUGCUACCUGACCUAGCGGCGGACGGGUGAGUAAUGCUUAGGAAUCUGCCUAUUAGUGGGGGACAACAUCCCGAAAGGGACGCUAACACCGAAUACGUCAUAGGGGAGAAAGAAUGGGAUGUCCUGACCUGUCGCUAGUAGAUUGGCUUAUGACGGUUUUGCUAGUUGGUGGGGUAAGGGCCUACCAAGGCGACGAUUUGUAGCGGGUCUGAGGGGAUGGUCCGCCACACUGGGACUGGGACACGGCCCAGACUCGUACGGGAGGCAGCAGUGGGGAAUAUUGGACAAUGGGGGGAACCCUGAUCCAGCCAUGCCGCGUGUGUGAAGAAGGCCUUAUGGUUGUAAAGCACUUUAGGCGAGGAGGAGGCUACUGAGACUAAUACUCUUGGAUAGUGGACGUUACUCGCAGAAUAAGCACCGGCUAACUCUGUGCCAGCAGCCGCCGUAAAAC